rnacentral:rRNA from 1 species
UACGUAGGGGGCAAGCGUUGUCCGGAUUCAUUGGGCGGAAAGAGCGUGUAGGCGGCCAGGUAGGUCGGUUGUGAAAACUGGAGGCUCAACCUUCAGAGGUCGACCGAAACCAUCUGGCUAGAGUCCGGGAGAGGAGAGUGGAAUUCCUGGUGUAGCGGUGAAAUGCGCAGAUAUCAGGAAGAACACCCGUGGCGAAAGCGGCUCUCUGGAACGGUACUGACGCUGAGACGCGAAAGCGUGGGGAGCGAACAGG